UACGAAGGGGGCUAGCGUUGCUCGGAAUCACUGGGCGUAAAGGGUGCGCAGGCGGGUCUUUAAGUCAGGGGUGAAAUCCUGGAGCUCAACUCCAGAACUGCCUUUGAUACUGAAGAUCUUGAGUUCGGGAGAGGUGAGUGGAACUGCGAGUGUAGAGGUGAAAUUCGUAGAUAUUCGCAAGAACACCAGUGGCGAAGGCGGCUCACUGGCCCGAGACUGACGCUGAGGCACGAAAGCGUGGGGAGCAAACAGG
rnacentral:rRNA from 1 species